AUUGAACGCUGGCGGCAUGCCUUACACAUGCAAGUCGAACGCCAAAGCGAGGGGCAACUCUUGCGAGUAGCGUGGCGCACGGGUGAGUAACACAUCGGAACGUAUCCACGAGUGGGGGACGAACCAGUCGAAAGAUUGGCUAAUACCGCAUACGCUGGGGACGAGGAAGGCGGGGACGGGUCGACACCGGCCUCGCGCUCGCGGGGCGGGCCGGAUGUCCGAUUAGCUAGNGGUCGGGGGUAAGGAGCCCACCAAGGCUGCGAUCGGUAGCGGGUCUGAGA
rnacentral:rRNA from 1 species